rnacentral:tRNA from 1 species
GGGCCUGUGGCGCAAUGGAUAACGCGUCUGACUACGAAUCAGGAGAUUGUGGGUUCGACUCCCGCCAGGCUCG